rnacentral:misc_RNA from 1 species
GAAAUGCGAUACUUGGUGUGAAUUGCAGAAUCCCGUGAACCAUCGAGUCUUUGAACGCAAGUUGCGCCCGAAGCCAUUAGGCCGAGGGCACGCCUGCCUGGGUGUCACACAUCGUUUCCCCAACGCAACUAACCA